rnacentral:sRNA from 1 species
CUGUACUAUUCACUGUCUUCAACAAAAGUCAGCUAUUUCAGGAAACUCUCGUCCAGAAAGAUAAAAAUUGAGAAUGAGACAUCAAUCAAUAUACGGAAGAUUUACAUGGUUCGAUCUGGAAGGGUGGGACAAUUCGAAGGGUGAGGAGAGAAGAGGAGCUUCCGGGUCAUAGGCGGUCAGGGAGAAGUCAAAGCUUCUAGAAGAGGUAGGUCACUCCUGCCCCUUAACUCCUCAGUCCAGCUCUCCUCUAGGACCUCAGAGACUCCACUUUGCCCAUUUGCAAGUCAGUUCUUGCACUUUUCCAUGGUGGAAAAUAUUCUUAUAUUGUUGCCAGUGCAGAAUCAACCACUGACCUACCAGAAUCCACCAUGGACCUAAAGUCACCCACAGAUGUGUACUUGGAGAACACCCAGGCUUUUGAAAACGAAGCAAAUUCUCCAUUAGCUGUGAUGAUCACUGCUAUCCACUACUUUCUAAGAAGACUCUGUGCUUUUGAGCAUGCCUACCACUACACUAUAGGAGA